UGAGAGUUUGAGACAACAUUAGUGAAUCUAAGUUGGAACAAUAUAGAAGCUUUCAUCCUCAACUUCAGUCCACAAAGAAGUGAGGGCUACAAUUAUAAUAAAAAAGAGGCCAAAAAACAUUUUAUAAGCCGUCUUCUUUCGUAUUCUCU